CGAGAGCGUUGAGGAAAAUGAAAGUGGCAGUGUCCAGAGCCUGCGCGGCAGCCGUCGGGGCGAGGGGCGCACCGUGCGGGGCGGCCAGCCUGGAGCGGGCGAGCCGGAGCCUCAGCCCGCACCCGGCGAGGGACACUUGUGAUUACAUUGGGUCCACCUGGAUAAUCUCCCCAUCUCGAGAUCCUUAAUCACAUCUCCAGUGCUCUUUUUGUCAUUGGAAGAUGGCGGUAGGCCCUGGACUUCCCUGCACUGCAGGCAGUGAUGAGGCUGGGCAGCAGCGAAAGGAGAAAAUGGACUUCCUCCUCCUGUAGACAAGAAUGCCAGCUACCAGCCAUGGCUUCCUGCGAACGGCAGGGAAAAUGUCAGCUACCUCAGAGGAGCCUCGGAAGAUGAAUGUGAUGAUGCAUCCAGCAUGGGCCUGGCCCAGAGUAAGACCUCAGUGAACGUCAGCUAUGAUGACGGUUUAGGCCAGGGAGUUCGAGUGACUUGCUUAAGGUCAUGUGGAGAGUUAGGAGCAAAGCUGGAAACAGGCGCCAUGGCUCAUGGGGUCCCAGGCCAGUGCUUUCUCUCCAGGAUUCACUUUGGUGUCCAAGAGAAAACGGUAAUAUCCAGGAACAGUUCUGAGUCUAAUCCUCUGCAGCUGGUACUGGCUGUUGUAGGGGAUUGAGGCACAAGGCCUUCUCAAUGCACGGGACCCUCAGCCUUGGGAGUUAGGAGCCCCUCAUAGAAGGGCAUCCGUGGUAACAGAUGCUGGGAGCCUGCUUUGUCUUCUGAGGGCUGGGGACAGUGUGCUUCCAGUGUCCUCUUUCCCAUUCCCCACCAGGCCAGACCAGACCUGCACCACCCUUGCCCUCUCCCCGGGGUGACGCAGACUAAACCUGGAGUGUGAAGGGGCCUGAGCAAACGUGCAGGGGGCAGGUGGGCACUCUAGAACUCUCUGUCCUGAGCAAAGCUGGGCCCUCACUCCUACCGCAGGACCCUGUACCUCAGGCCUGCAAAGUGGGCAUGGGAGGAGUCUCCUAAGACCCUCUGGGAAAAGCAGCCUGACCUGCCCUAUGGGGCAGGGGUGGCAGACGCCCUUCCCAGCUGCCCUGGCCACCCUGCAGCCCGGGGACUGCUCCCACUGCUCUUAGACACACAGCUGUGGCCCUUGCUCCUAAAAAAGUAAUUUUAACAUCUACCCAAGUGGGUCUUCCCAGGAUAUGCACAGCUCUUGAAAUUUUGCUCCAGCUAGUAUAGCACAGUGGAGAAGCCCACAGUCGGUCAGGCCAGGCUUGAAUCCCAGGUGUGCUUCUUUGCGUGUGUACACAGGUGAGUGGAGGUGUACUUGGGAAAUUGUUCAGGUUCUUCACCUCUCACUUUCUACAUCUGUAAAAUGGGAACUAAGAAUGCCUGCCUCACAGAUUUGCAGCUUGAAUUAAAUGAAAUAGCCUGCGUGAACUGUUAGCGUGUGCAUGGCCCACGGUAGCUAUUUUUAUCAUCCUUGUCAAGCAGGUCGGUAGGCUCCACCAGUCUGUGGGUGGAAACAGCUUUCAUGUGUGGUUCAGUCUGUUGUAGGCUGUACAUCAGGAGCCUGGAAUGACUGAGCCAGCUGUACUGUUAUUUGUAGUCAUUGCUGGUAUCCAAGGCAGGUAAUUCAGUUUCUGCUGGUGUGUAAUGCCAUGCCAUUUAAUUCCCUGUUUCUCUUCUGUUUAGUUCAUUGUUCUUGAAAGAAAAAAUAGUUCCAUAGCUAAAAUGUAUUGAGGGUUUUAUAACUAAAAGUUUCAUGCAUAUUAUCUUCUUUAAUUCCCGUAACAACCGAAUGAAGAACCAGGGGUUAAAUGAUGCCUAAGGCUACUCUGCUGUCAUGCAGCAGAGCCAGGCCUCACAGGUCCAGUUUGAGAGUCCAUGCUCAGCCCUGUACCGCCUCCCUAAACAGGGCAGUGGUUGACCUUGGUGGCCUUGAGGAGUCAGGUAGUCUGGUCUGUCCCCUCCCUGUGUGUCACAGAGGGGAGAAUGAGAGUUUGUCUUAUUGUAGAAGCUUCCCUGAGAACACUGUGACGCUCCCUUUGGUAGCCAUUUCAGGGUCUGCAGGGGCAGUGGCUUCUUUCUUAGGCCCCUUGCAGUGUCCUCUUGAGGCCAGUUGUCCAUCCUUGAGGGUCAUUCUGUCGAGGGUGUGCUCUGUGGUCAGGUGGACACGCUAACAGUGAGGGUGGCGUUCCCCUGGCAUGCUGAGGCUGGGACCUUCUGCCCCUCUGACCGUGGUGCUUGGCAUCCAGUGCAAAUGUGGCCACUCUUCAUCCCUGUCUACCCUCCAGCCAAGCUGCUUGACCACAGCUGACGCCUUCCUCACAGGUCUGUAGGACUUCUGGCUCUGAGAGCAGAGAAAGUGGCCUGUGGGCCCGCUGGAUCUCUUGAGGAGAUGAGAGGCCGUGAUUAGCGUGGCCUGCAGUCCCUGGGUUGACCCAGGUCGUGGUGGAUCUGCUCCAGCCACAGCAGCCCCUCCAGGGCUACCCAAGGUGCCUUGAGGCCUGAGAGCUAGCAUCUACCCUGGGGGACUCUUGGUUCAGCAAGCAGUUAUUGAGCACCUAUUUUGUGCCUCCAGAGCCCACGUGAAAGAGACAUCAGGUGUCAGUUGGUGUAGGGCUGUGUCCAGCUCAGCGGGCAGGGCCUCCGGUGGCCACCAGGGAGCACCACCGCUCUCAGAAGGACCCGAGGCUGGCAGAGGAGCCAGGUUGGCUGUGUUGCUGUUUAUCUGAGCAGCUUCCAUGACAACCAGAAGAUAAUUACCUGAGGUCAAGUAAAUCCUGGAGCAAGAUUAGGGUGUUUGGAUAGGGUAGGGCCUGCACUGUGAUUUGGAGACCCUUAAGUAACCAGAAUCUUUUGGAUGGUAUAUUCAAUAUGUUUAACUAGUUUGUUAAUUAAUUAAUGCCCCACUGUAUUCCAGAAAGGAUUCAGAGUGACUUUCCAUUCAGCAGGUUUCUUAGAGGGAAGAAAGUAUCCUAAGCUUGCUCUGAGCUAAAUGUUAGGGUUUAGACCUCCCAGGGGUCAUUUACCAGCUUAGCUCCAUGCUCCAAGGGCUGGCUCCCUGGAAAGCACAGCCUUUGCUGCCAAAACUUGUUUGCAGCAUUUCUGUGCUCACCUCCUGGUUCCUUUGCAACAAGUGGCCCUGAUGUCUUCCUGCCUUGAAGCAAACCACGUGACUUAAGAGAAGCAAAUCUGACCUCAAUUACCAGGUGCAAAUAUCAGUCACUGGGAGUAACCAGGAGGCCAGUGUCCCUGGUCGUUUUGGUCUCUGGCGUUAAACAUUAAGAGUGCACUGUUCAGGUUGUGAUAAAGGCUGUCUCACAGUUUAUGGUUUCCAGUAAACCAAAGGACUUCAAGGAAGGGCCAGGGGCAAGGGAGAGACUCAAGGCCUGGCCCACCGCUGAGCUGGCAGAGCAGUUUCUGCAGGAGCAGAGGGGCAGGAGGGAGGCCACAGCUUCUCAAGGCUGUUUCUGUGGCAGAGCCAGAGAGACAUGCUGCCAAGCCACGUGAGGCAGGGCCAGCUGCUACACCCAGCCAGGCAGCUCCGUGCACUCUCAGGGUGGUGAUAUGGGAAAGGAAGAUAUCUGUUCUCGGUGUGCUGGACACUGCGCUUCCUUCCUGCUGGAUGCCAGCCCAGCUGGGAGCCCUGAGCACGUUCCUCUGUCAGUCUGAGCAGUGAGCAUCUGGAGCCACUCUCACAGAAACCUGGAGGAGCAUUCUCAGCAUCUGGAGCCUGCAGAUACAUGGGCCAAGAUUCCUCAGCCUCUGGUCACAAGGACGCUGUAAGCAGGUAGCAUGUCCCACCUUGGCCUAGGAAGUAACUGAAGUCCCCCUCCCGGCCUCCAGUGCCAUAAAGGAGACUCGUCUCAGUUUCUCUGGCACACCUACUCCAGCAGCUAAGAGAGAAGAUAUACAUCAAAUUAAAUCAAAAUAGAGUAAUAGUUGCAUGCAUUCAUUUGACAGAUAUUUCACGAACACCCUUCUAAAUGGCAUGUACUUUGCCAGGUGCCAGGCAUACAAUUAUGAACAAGGUUCCUGCUCAUAUGGACCUUAGAGUCUAGUGGUGGAGAUAGAAAAUAAUUAAAAUAAACACAUAAAUAAAGUGUCAACACAGUAAAUGCUGUAUAGCAAAUUAAAAUAACUGAUGUGUAAUCAAGUGACUGAGUGACUGCUUUGGAUCAGGAGUCAGAGGCAGCCUCUGAAGAAGUGGCAUUUACGAGAUUCCUGAAAAAGAAGAAGACUGAGGAAGGAGCAGGUGAGCAGCCGUAAGGUCACCUGUCCUGCCUGCUGUUGGUGCAGGAGAGGCAGGGUGACAGGAGGAGAGGAAGAAUGCUCUGGAACAUAUAAUGUGGUUGAUUUGAUGCCUUGGGAUUUGUGACACUUCUAUUUUCUGAAUUAUUUCUUAAACAUUCUUUCAUUCAGUAUCCUUUGUGUGCCUGGCAUUCUGCUGAGUGGUGAUAAACCAAUGUGAGUAUGUCAAGGUCCCUCAAGAGGUUUUCAGUCUGUUGGGAGAGUUAGGCCAGGAAACAGGACAGUGUAGUAUGUACUGAGAGGCGAUCAAAGAGGGUUAGUGGGAGCAGACAGAGGGCUUCCCAGCCCCUUUGGGUGUUGAGAGGAGGAGAGAUGUUCAAUAAGGCUUCCUGAAGGCAGUGACAUCUGGGAGGGUCUUAGAGGAUGAGGUGAGAUUAGUCAGGAGAAGACAGAGUGUAUGUUCCAGGCAGAGAGGAUGGCCUGUGCAAAGGCUUGGAGGGAGAGAAGGAGCAGAUAGACAAGAAUGUUCUGCUCUGUAGCCUAUACCAGACACUCAAGAGUAGCUUGUAGAGUUAAGACAGAUUCCUCGGGGGCCACGUCAGCAGCAGGCAAAGGCUUAAGGAAAGGAUUCUGGGGUUCAAGAGCUCAGACCACUCUCUGGACCUCCCUGCCUACUGGGAGUCAUCUCAUGAGAGGACUAACUCACUCCAAGCAGACACUUCCCAAAUCAGAAUAUAAGAUUCCCUUAAACCAGGCACAUAGAUGCGAGCAUGCAUGAACAUCCACGUGAACAAAUUUGACUACUUCCUUUUUGGAGGAAAGAGGGUACUGAAAUAAAACCUAUUAAUCUAUGGGUAAGAACAAGAUUUGCAUUUAGGGUAGGAAUACCUCUUCACAUCCUUAGAAGUCUCACUAGGCUUUCUGGAAAGUCUCACUAGGCUGUAAAAUUGCAAAGGUGCUUUUGUUAUGUCCCAGUAUGUGCUUAAUUUGAUCAUAAACUAAGAUAAUCCCAUGUCCACUUCAGCCUGAUAGGGAACAUACAGCUUUUUCCCAUCCUUUCCUCUUGCCUUUUCCCCUUAUUUUGCUUCUCUCUCUCUUCCCCAGCCCCCAGAGCCCCUGGUUAUCUUUGGUAUGUACUUAUUGCACCCUCAAAAUCCUAUAAGAGUGAUAACAGCAGUUUAUUACUUGUAAGACACCUCAAUCAUUCGUGACCUAUUAAAAUUCAGAAAGCAAGCAGUAAAUUAAAAAGGCAGCCAGAAAGAGAGCAAGUGAGAGAGAGAGACAGAACCAAAGUUCAGAAUGAAUUAACAUUUAUUGAGGACUUAUGAACUUACUAUGUUCAAGGCCUUCUGCUAAGCUCAUCACAUUCUCUGUUUUAUUUAAUCUUUCCAAAAGCUCUUCCAUUUGUGCCUCCAGAUCUGUGCUCCACCAUCUCCACCUGCUCUGUGGCAUGGAAGACUGACCUGUAUGCACUGCAUCACCAUCUGCCUUGCCUCUGACUUCUGGCUAGAUUUGGCUAAUAGGGAGUACUGGCCAGAGAUCGGUGGACACAGGAAAACUAGAUCAAGAAUUUAUUUCCCUGGUUUGCCAUCGAUUCACUGCAGGCCAGUUGGAUCCUCCACUGAAUCCUGCAGCUCCAGUCAGACACCUGUUCAGACAGCAGCCUUCCCUGGGCUCAUUUACCUCUUCCCUUCCUUCACAUCUUCAGGCUAGAAGUAGUAGCAGCUCCCCAUUGUCGCCAGCCCUAAAGUGCUUCACUAACCGUUGCUGAUUUCCUUAAACCCUUCCAAUGAGUGUGCCAUCUGUUUCCUCCAGGACUCUGACGGUACGAUAAACUUUUUGAGGGAAGCACAGUUCAGUUCAGUUGCUCAGUCGUGUCCAGCUCUUUUCGACCCCAUGGACUGUAGCAGCCAGGCUUCCUGGUUCAUCAUCAGCUCCUACAGCUUACUCAAACUCAUGUCCAUCGAGUCGGUGAUGCCAUCCAACCAUCAAGUCAGUGAUGUCAUCCAGCCAAGAGGGAAGCACAGUAUUAUCCCGUUGUAAGAUAAGGUACCUGAGGUUAAGAGAAAGUUAAUAACUUGUUCAAGAACACACAGCGGGCAAAUGGUAGAAAGAGCACCCAAAUCCAGGUGUUCCUGCUACAUGAGACGAAACACACAUAUGUUCAGUCAUAUGUCUCGUUGCUUCCCAGGACUAAACACCACCUCCCCCAGACUGCACUAAAUAUCAGCUUGCUCUUGUAUUUUGUUUCCUAAUCCACAGCCAUUUAAAAAGAGUAGAAAUUAUAAGUCAGUGCUAAAAGCAGCCUUUCAGUUAAAUAGUGAGAAGUGAUGGUGACAGUUUGAGAUGGAGAAAAGGCAUAAUUGCUAUUAAAAAUAGGCCUAAAAUCGUAAGAAGCUUUCAGAGUCCGCAGUUGGCUGUGCCUUCUCCAUGUUUUACAGGAUGGUAGUGCUGACACUAUAGUCCACUGGAGCCCAAAGUAAAAUUUCUCAAUUGGCCAGAAGAGUUAAGCUGGGGUUGCCCAAUUCUCUCUCACGCCAUUCCUUAUUAUAGUGGCCAGUUUUCAUGCUUGGUUUGUGACACUCCAAGCAAAGGGGCAGAGGUUCUUUUUAGUUCUGAAACUGCUGAUUCAGUUUGCAUGAGGAUAUUACUUUUUAAGGAACUUUCAAAAACACCUAAAAUUUAAUUGUAGCCAUAGCUGAGUUAGAGAACCCCUGGGUGUACAAUUUUCUCCACCUCUGGUGUUUAUAGAAUAUGACAUCAUUUGGGUUUGGAGGGAGACUCUGGGGAGAAAGGCCAGGAGACACUCAGCAGGUGGAAGGGCCUUUACCUUGGGAUUCUUAUUGAUGGGCAGUUGUAUGGGAAGUUGUCAUAAAGACUGUCAGCUCCUGAGUGUCCUCUUGAUGACUUGUCUGGCCAACAAGAUCUUAGCAUGAGGAGACUAUAAGAAGGCUUCUUUACAUUUAUUUAAAGUAAAGUUGACCUUCUAAAAACACUUUACAUUUGUAUUUCUUUUGAGAAUUAUUUUUCUUCUUUUCAGCCAUAUCAUGAGGCAUGUGGGAUUUUAGUUCUCUUCACCUGUAUGUUAGAAAUUGCUAGUUGUUUUCCAGUUUCAAUCCCCUCCCCCUUUCUUAGUAACAAAUCCAAUUCUUUAGCUGAGCCCUUUGCCACAUGACUGCAAGCCUGUGUUUCCUUGAAGCUUGGUAUGGCCAUAUGACUGAGCUCUGGCCAGUGAGAUGCAAUCAUUGUGUGGGAUUUCUAAUAAGUCCCCUUGAAAGAAGAAGAGUGUACUGUUCUACCCACCCUCCCUUUCUCCAUCCUACCUCCAUAAAUGAGGGCAUGUUGACUAGAGCUCUAGCAACCAGCAUGGGCUGAGAGCCGCACCCUAAGAAUGGGGCAGAAUGAACAAGAUGCCUGUCUCUAACGACUCCUGGAGUUACCAUCCUAACCCAGAACUGACUGUGAACUUCUUUUUUUUUUUAAUGUAAGAGUGAAAUAAGCUUACAUCUUGUUUAAGCCCCUAUUGUUUUCUGUUAUAUGUAAUUGGACAAAAUUCUAAUCGAUACAAAAUGCUUGUUUUUUUGUCUAAGCCAUAUUUUUAUUAGCGUUUUUUUUAACAUAUGAAUGAUAUUUCUUCUUUGUAAAUGCUGUGAAUAUUCACCCUAUUUUUGCUUGCCUUUUGAUUUUGUUUGUGUUUUGUUUUUAAAGAAUAG
ensembl:lncRNA